CUAAAAACAAUGCUCCAAUCGUUUUUAAAGUUGAUUGAUGACUAUCAUCCUAUAUUUUUGGAAAUACCGUAUGAUGAGCCAGCUUAUUGUGGGAAGGAAAAGUUCCAUAUGCUCAAUGUAUUGAACUUAUUGAUGAUGACUUAUGCAACUGCAGGAGUCUGAAUCUUCUUCGAACACAAGAGUUAUGGAUCCUAAAAACAACGCUCCAAUCGUUU